GACGUAGGGCGCGAGCGUUGUCCGGAUUUAUUGGGCGUAAAGAGCUCGUAGGCGGCUUGUCGCGUCGUCCGUGAAAUCUCAGGGCUCAACCCUGACAUUGCGGGCGAUACGGGCAGGCUAGAGUUCGGUAGGGGAGACUGGAAUUCCUGGUGUAGCGGUGAAAUGCGCAGAUAUCAGGAGGAACACCGGUGGCGAAGGCGGGUCUCUGGGCCGAUACUGACGCUGAGGAGCGAAAGCGUGGGGAGCGAACAGG
rnacentral:rRNA from 1 species